rnacentral:lncRNA from 1 species
AUGGCCGCCGCCGGCCCGCGGAGCGCGUCUCGGGAGCCCGCGGAGCGAGCCCUGGCCCCGCGCCCGCCCCGCCCCCUCCCCCGCCGAGCCCGAGCCCGAGCCCGAGCCCGAGCCCGAGCCCGAGCCCGAGCGAGCCCAGGAGCCCGCGGGCGGGGCGGGCGGGGGCGCGCCGGGAGGGGCCGGAGCCCCGAGCCCCGAGCCCCGAGCCCCGAGCCCGAGCCCCGCGGUGACCUUGGGGCCGCCCCGCCCCGCCCUGCAGCCACCCGAGGCCCACGGGGCGCCCCUCCACUUCCACGGGGCCGGGGCGGGCACCCCGGGGCACCCCCCAGCCGGGCCAGCCCACCCACCCAGGAACUUGGGGGUGUCGGGCCACCCACAGCGGCCGGCCCGGGCAGGCUCACCCGCUGGCCCGGCCGCCCGGGGUCCAGGAGGGCGCCCCUGGGUAGGCGCAGAUGGAAGGCCCGCAGGUCAGGACCCGCACCCGCACCCGCACCCGCAGGCCUCCUGGAACCAGGCCGCAGCCGGCGCCUGCUCCCAGGACGCGGGGGAAAUCAAGGGGCGCUGCAGCCAGGGGCUGCCCGGGGCCUGCCCUACACUCCCCUGCAGCUUCAGGGCCUCUCAGCGCCAGCACCACGGAGCUGUCCAGGGCCUCACCGGACUGUCCCCACCCGGGCCCUUCGGGGUGCCUGCAGGCGGGGGGGCCCAGCUCCCUGCCCAGUGCGCUCCCCAGGGGAGCCCCGACCCGGCGCACAGACACAGACCCGGACAGGGCCGCGCCGCUCAACCCUUGGGUUUGCAAACGGCCAGCCAUGGUCACCCCGCCCCCCCCCCCCCCGCCCACCCUGUCACCUCAGGAAGUUACCUAUCCUCACCCCUAGCUCCAGUUUCCUGAGCUCUAAAAUGGGGAGGACAGUCCAGAGGACGCAGUGGGCGCACCCCCGCGAGGCGCCCGGCACAGCGCUUGCGUGUCUGUGUGCGCCUGCAGGAGGGUUUAGGAUCACCAGCCGCUGGGAUCUGAGAGCCCCACGGUGGUUCUGUUCAAUUGGAGAUGUUACACAAUCCCCUUCUGAGCUUCAGGCCCCCGGGGAGAAGGGAUGUAUUCCAGGCCAAGCCUUGCUCUGA